AUACGGAGGGUGCGAGCGUUAAUCGGAAUUACUGGGCGUAAAGCGUACGUAGGCGGUUGGUUAAGUUAGAUGUGAAAGCCCCGGGCUUAACCUGGGAACUGCAUUUAAAACUGGCGAACUAGAGUUGAGUAGAGGGGAGUGGAAUUUCAGGUGUAGCGGUGAAAUGCGUAGAGAUCUGAAGGAACACCAGUGGCGAAGGCGACUCCCAGGACUCGAACUGACGCUGAGGUACGAAAGCGUGGGUAGCAAACGGGAUUAGAUACCCGAGUAGUCC
rnacentral:rRNA from 1 species